CGGGGUGAGUAAUGCCUGGGAAACUGCCUGAUAGAGGGGGAUAACUGCUGGAAACGGUAGCUAAUACCGCAUAACGUCGCAAGACCAAAGAGGGGGACCUUCGGGCCUCUUGCCAUCGGAUGUGCCCAGAUGGGAUUAGCUAGUAGGUGGGGUAACGGCUCACCUAGGCGACGAUCCCUAGCUGGUCUGAGAGGAUGACCAGCCACACUGGAACUGAGACACGGUCCAG
rnacentral:rRNA from 1 species